AAAUCUGGUCUUGCUUCAGUUUAGGUAUUGGAUGGGAAUGCACCCUCUGGAAAUCCAUUAGCACUGAAACUGUUGCUAGACCGCCCGAGUUAGUCCUGCUAGGACUUCUGUACGAGGAGACCUCCAAAGAAAUCACUAACCAGUUGACCGUCCAACCCCCUCCCUAGAGCUACCCUUCAAGCUGUCAAGUGGAGCACCAAAGUUUCAGAAUUCUAUCAAGGAAGAUUUAGAAAAUGGGAGGUCUCGGCCAUCCUUCGGAAUAGGAAAUAAGGUCCUGAAGUGAAGCUGGAUCCCCACCUAGUGGAAGACAUAAAAAGAUCUGAUUCUCAGGAUUCAGGAGGUGGAGGAAUAUGAUCUACCAAUUCUAUGCACCUGUCUGGCUCAAGUUUGGAGGUUUUUUGAGAGAUUGUUAAGGCACUGUAGAGAGAAAGAUCCUACCCUAUGCUGAGAGAUAUCAGAAAAAUGGGAAGCACGAGCGAUGAUCUUUUAACAGACUGCAUCAUUACGCUAUGAGCUGUCCCUUCGCCGACACUCGUUUUCCAGCUUUCUACUCUAAAAAUCUGGAGUGUGUAUUCUGUGUAUGUACGGUCAGGCUAAAAAUAGACAGCGAAGCCUAACAA